GCCAGAGCCUCUGAUCCCCAACCCAACCUCAAGGGCUCCUUUUUACCUCUCUGGGAGACCUCCUUACCCUCUGUAGACCUGGGGUUCUCAACACCCAAGUCCAGCUUGGAGAACAAGUCGGUUGGGGAUGGAGGAUCAAAAUAUCACUUCCUCUGAGGCCCCCCGGGUAGAGUCGGUGAUGUCACUUCCCCAGUGAUGUCACUUCCCCUAUGAUCUCCCAGAGCCUUGUAGGAUCCGGAUGGUUGGCUAACUCCCAGUCUGUGCUGGAAAGGACUGGAAGGGUAUUUAGGUGAAUGGAAUGACGUAUGUAAAGGUCUUUGUUGAGCACCAGGAAGGAGAGCAAGAUGGAGACACCAUGGCUGGAGCUGGGACUCUAUUUGGAUCUCUCAAGGGAGAAGGUAGCCUCUAUUCGGAGGGCCACAGGGAACGUGGCUAGCUGCACUCGCUCAGUGGAAAGGAAUGCACAGCCCCAGAGCCCCAGAGCCCCAGAGCCCCGGAGAAGAAGAUCAGCUACGCCAGGCCUUGAACAUCUCUGGAGCAGCAAUACUUGGGGCCCAGGGCCCCUUGCUCUGUGAGCCUAGCCAGUAAUGAAGACCAUGUGAGGGCUGUGGGCUCCCCCCUCCUUCCUGGCUUAGCAGAGAGGCUCUCAGGAAGUGUGGAGGGAAGGGGGGGUCCUGCCUGGCUGUCCAGAUGGAAGAAUUGUGCUGAGGAGAUGAGGAGCUAGCAGGGGUCACGGAGGCCCACUCCUCCCUCAAGCUGUCUACGUGUGCAGGACUCUGAAUGGUACCUGUCCCAUCAACCCGUUCCCUCAAACUAGGUGUCUGAUCCUAUUUCAGAAAGAUCACAAGCACCAGGGUUCAA